rnacentral:rRNA from 1 species
UACUCGAGUGGCGAACGGGUGAGUAACACGUGGGUGAUCUGCCCUGCACUCUGGGAUAAGCCUGGGAAACUGGGUCUAAUACCGGAUAGGACUAUGCUUUAGUGUGUGUGGUGGAAAGUUUUUUCGGUGUAGGAUGAGCCCGCGGCCUAUCAGCUUGUUGGUGGGGUAAUGGCCUACCAAGGCGGCGACGGGUAGCCGGACUGAGAGGUUGGUCGGCCACAUUGGGACUGAGAUACGGCCCAG